rnacentral:lncRNA from 1 species
UAAAUAUAUACAGGGAAGCAAGAAAACCUAGGAAAAAUAGGAGAAAAUAAGGUAAAUAUAAGGACCCAUAUAUGGUCAAUAUAUGGUCAAUAAACGAUCUUCAAUACUCCCUCUCAAGCUGGAGCGUGGAUGUUAAGAACCUUCAGCUUGCCAAGAAGAAGAUUAAGUUGAGGAGCUCUCAGUCCUUUUGUAAAUAAAUCAACUAUCUUCAUUUUCGAAGAGAUGGGAAGAACACUCACUUCCUCACUUUCAAGUCUUUCACGAACGAAGUAGCAAUCCAUCUCUACAUGUUUGGUCCUUUCGUGGAAAACCGGGUUGUUGGUGAUGUGUCUAGUGGCCUAGUUAUCACAAAACAAAGGAGUUGGUCUGUCAAUGGUAACAUCGAGUUCUCUUAGAAGCCAACGCAUCCAUAAGAGUUCACUAACGGUGGAUGCCAUUGAGCGAUAUUCCGCCUUGGCAGAUGAGCGCGAAACGACAGACUGUUUUUUUGUUUUCCACGAAAUAGGAGCUCCCCCUAAGAGAAGGACAUAACCGGUCCUAGAUCGUUUAGAAAAUGGGCAGCCAAGCCAAUCAGAAUCGCUGUAUGCUGUGAGAUUGUAGCCUCCACCAUGAGGAUGAAGAAUCCCUUGUCCAGGAGUGGCUUUAAGAUACCGUAAGACAUGAUGAGCUGCAUCAAGGUGGUUUUGUCUAGGAUCUGCAACAAAUUGACUUAAGACAUUCACAUCAUAUGUGAUGUCCGGACGAGUAGCUUGUAAAUAAAGAAGUCGGCCAACCAUUCUUCGAUAUUGACUGCUAUCAACCUUUGGUUCUUUCUCUCCUUUAUCGAGCUUUAAGUUAGGAUCGAUAGGGAAUGAGCUAGGGCGACACCCUUGAAAACGGCAAUCUUCAAGAAUAUUCAAAGUAUACUUUCUUUGACUAAAAAAACAUUCCCUUUGAAGUCUGUAUUACCUCUAUACCAAGAAAGUAGCUGAGAGUCCCUAAAUCUUUUAUGUUGAAUCGUCUAUCCAAAUCAGCCUUUACAAAAUCAAUCUUCUCUUUUUCAUUUCCAACAAUUAUGACAUCAUCUACAUAUAUCAAAGCUGCAACGAAAUUGUUGUUUUGUUUGUAAAUGAAGAGGGAGUAAUCGACCUUGCACUGUUUAAAACCGAGAUCAAUGAGGGAGGCAGUGAAUUUUUGGUACUAGUUGUGGGAUGCAUGUUUGAGCCCAUUAAGAGACUUUCUUAAUCUACAAACUCUUGUUUCGUUUUCUUUAGCGAAACCUUGUGGAAUCUUCAUAUAGACUUCCUCAUUAAGAUCUCCAUGUAGGAAGGCAUUAUUAACGUCAAGUUGGUUAAUGAGCCAGUUUUUCUUGGUAGCUACGGCUAAAAGGGUCCUAACCGUGACCAACUUUACCACUGGAGCAAAUGUGUCAUGAUAAUCAACCCCUUCUUGUUGUGUAAAUCCCUUUGCUACAAGGCGACCCUUGUAUCGUUCAACUUCACCAUUGGGUUUGUAUUUAACCUUGUACACCCAUUUUGAGUCUAUGGCACGCUUUCCUUUAGGCAAAUUUUCAAGAGUCCAAGUUCCAUUUUCUUCAAGGGCCUGGAUCUCCUUUUUUCAUAGCAUCUCUCCAUUUUUCAUCCUGCAUGGCUUGAUUAAAGUUCUUUGGUUCAUCGUUGGAUUCGAUGGCCGCUAAGAAGCUUUUGUGAGAAUUAGAAAAAUUAUCAUAUGAGACAAAGUUAGAAAUAGGAUGUACCGUGGAGGGGUCUUGAUUGGAAACGGGCCUCGAGUGGUCUAUCGAUGAAGGCAGGUCAACAUGAAAGUCUUUGAGAUGAGCCAUCUGUGUUUUGGUUCUUUUAGCACGUUCCUGCGCAAAAACGGUUUCCCUAUUGUUUUCGAAAUGAGGUGUUUGAAUAUUUGAGUCAUGAUCCAAGUCUUCUUGCACUUCAUUUGUUUGACUAUAUUCCUGUGGUGAUCUAUUCAUUUCAAUAGAACCAUCAUUUAUUUCUUCAUUUUUCUCACAGUUUGCUUCGAUAUUUUUAAUUCCAAUGGGAUCUUUAAUCUGUUCAAAUAAAUCCUCAUGUAGGGGAUUAGGACUAACCUCCUUAAAAGGGAAGAUGUCUUCACAAAAUUUGGUGUCUCUAGAUACAAUAACUUUCUUGUACUCUAGAUCGUAAAUCUUGUAACCCUUUGUCCCGGGUGGGUAACCCAAGAAAACUCCCGGCCUACCUCUUGUUUCGAACUUGUCUCCACCGUGGUUAGUGUUCCGGUAGUAAACAAGACAUCCAAAAACUCUCAUGAAGUCAUAGUCCGAAUUUUCUUUGCGAAGUAGCUUGAAAGGAGAUUUAUCAUUGAUUACCUUGGAUGGUAACCGGUUAAUGAUAUGAGUUGCGGUCAAGACACAUUCUCCCCAGAACUGCUUAGGGAGUUUUGCCUCAAAUCUUAAGGCCCUAGCCAUCUCGAGAAGGUGUCGAUGCUUUCUUUUAACAACUCCGUUCUGUUGAGGCGUAUGGAUGCAAGUAGUCUCAAGUAAAAUGUCGUUUUCUUGGUAGAAAGACAACAUUUCGUUCGAUGUAAAUUCUCCCCCAUUGUCACACCUAAUUCUUUUAAUAUCUUUGUCAAAUUGCGUUUGAAUCAUUUUGUGAAAUGACUUUAAAUGACUACUUGCUUCAUGCUUAAACUUUAAAAGAAACAACCAAACAGAUCUACUAUAAUCAUCUACAAUGGUCAAAAAAUAUCGUGCCCCAGUGGAGGAAGGUGUACGAUAAGCACCUUAAAUAUCACAAUGCAUUAAAUCAAAACAAUCCUUGGUUUUAGUAACACUACUUGAAAAAGAAGACUUGGUAUAUUUAGCCCUUGAACAGGAAUCACACACAUCACUUAAAAUAAUAUUUUUAAGAAAACUAAUCUUGUUAAGUUUUGGAGCGGAAGCAUGUCCUAAUCUUCUGUGCCAUGUAUCAUGUGUAACAGCCAUAGCCUUUCUCUCACUUCUGACCAUGCCCAUCCGAUAAAGACCCUUCUCGCGUUUACCCGCACCAAUCAAGACUCUCGUGGAAAGGUUCUGCAUGACACAAAAAUCAGGGCAGAAUGAGACAACACAUUGUAAAUCGUUAGAUAAUUUUCCAACAGAUAACAAAUUACAAUUAAAAUCCGGGACAUAAAGCACGUCUUUGAUCUUAGUACCCCCUGUGAGGGUACAUUCACCUUUUCCUUUGACAGGAACCUUGAUACCAUUAGCGACAGUAACAUGUGCUUCAAACUUGGCUUCAGUUCUGUUAUAAAGACAAUUCGGAUUGUAAGUUAUGUGUUCUGUGGCUCCUGAGUCCACCACCCACUCGUCAUGAUCUUCCUGUUUACCUGCGAGAUUCGCAACACGUGGUUUCUCACUCCUUUGGUUGUCAUUAUCUUGUUUGAAAGUCUUUAGGAACAACUCGUAUUGCUCCUUUGAAAGUCCCGGGAUAGGACUUGAAUCGUUCUCUGCAUAGGCGGCUUUGUUUCCAUCACGUUUCACUUGGUUGCCUGGCCACCAUUCAGGAUACCCAAUCACCUUGAAGCAUCCUUCUUUGUUGUGUCUGUCUCUCCCACAAACAGUGCAGUUUUGCACCAUGUCACUGCGUUUCCCAUCUCUUGAACUGCUUUUGUCUCGUUUCACAACAUCUCGUCUUCCAUUGUUUUCUUUUCGGUUCUGGAAGGAGGCCUUGAAGGCGAUGGCUUCACUCGCUGGUUUCCUGUCUGAGAAAAUGGUUCUUUGUCUCUCAUCCUCGGCUACCAUAUGAUAAGCAUUGCUCAAAGUAGGAAUUGGUUUGGUAGCCAAGAUAUGUGUUCUGAUUACUGUGAAGUCGCUGUUUAGUCCCAUGAGGAAUUCGUAGAGCCUCUCCUUCUCCUUUGCUUCGCUUAGUCGUUUCCCGAUGUCACAAUUGCACUUAUUGCAGAUGCAUUGGGGCGUGGGCAUUACAGAACCAACUUCAUCCCAAAGGCUGCGGAGUUUAGUGUAGUAGGCUGAAACAGAGGUUGCAGAUUGUUGUGUUGUGGUUAGGGCAAGUUUUAACUCAUAGGCUCUAGGAGCACUUUCUUUUCCAAAUCUUUCCUGUAGACCGGACCAGAUUUCAUAAGCCGUUCCAGCAUACUUCACGCUGCUUCUUAUCUCCUUUUCCAUGGCUGUUGUGAGCCACCCUUUUACCAUGGCAUCACAACGCAUCCAAGGCAUAUAGUUAGGUGUUUCUUUGUCGGGUUUUUUGAUCGUGCCAUCAACAAAUCCUACCUUGUUUUUGGCGAGCAAGAAAUUCAUCAUCUCUUGAGACCAAUCUGUGUAGUUGUGAUCUUUGAGAAGAUCGUUUAUGUGUAGUUGUUUUGGGUAGUCCGAGGCAUGAACGUAAUAAGGUGAGUUCACGUUGGGACCAUCUUCAUCCUUGUUUCCACUGGCGCUGCCUUUUUCUCCUGUCAUGAUGCGGACAGGACAGAACUGAUCGAGAUUUGGGUUGCUGAGUUUAGAAUAUGAUCGAUGAAAACUACUCUGAUACCAUAUUGGGUUUGAUAACAGAGAGCAGCCAAGAUAAUUGGUAUUUCAUUAAUUUUCUUAAUUUAAUCCAAAAGCGUUCAAGGAAUAAAUAUAUACAGGGAAGCAAGAAAACCUAGGAAAAAUAGAAGAAAAUAAGGUAAUGAUAAGGACACAUAUAUAUUCUAAACCAUUCAUUAAACCUUUUACCGGUUUAACGCACCCCCUGCCUAAGCGUUAUCUAUUUAACCCACCCCCUCCCAAAANAAAAAAAAAAAAAAAAAAAAAAAAAAAAAAAAAAAAAAAAAAAAACUUUAGACGAGUUCUUUUAAAGUAACCUAUUUUUAUUUUAGAUAAACCAAUAAUCCGUUUGAAAUAUUUUAAUUAACUAUUAAUUUUAAUGCAAAUCACUUGAAUCUAAUAAAAUCAUGACAAAACUUAUAUCAUAAAACAUUAAGUUGAGACGAUUCAACCAACAUCACUUCUUUUUGGAGAUUGAAACGUCACCUUGAAAACUGUUAAAAACAUUUAUAACAAAUAAAAUAUUUAGCUAC